CUUCAGGAGUGAAGCUGCAGACCUUCGCGUGAUGGAGGUUGAGAAGUCCAACUUCAAGGCACCACAUCUGGUGAGAGCCUUCAUUCCGAUGACAGCCUUCAUGCUGCAACCUGCAGCAGGAAAAUGGGCUUCAGUUUUCAAGUCUGCAGCUGAGUUGGGAAGUUGCGGACAGUAACCAGGAUCGCUGUCCUUAUAAGAAGUGGAAGAAACAUCAGAGAGCUCUCCCUCUCCACACACACAGAGGAAAGGCCACAUGGGGACAAGAGAGGGCAACUGUCUACAAAUCUGGAAGAGAGACUUCAGAAGAAACCAGCACUGAUGGCAUCUGAUCUUGGACUUCCAGCCUCUGGAUCUAUCUGCCAGAGCCUGAUCUCAUACACACUGAUGUGGUACAGGAAAUGCCACCUGAAAAUAUGGUACCUUGGCAUUUGAGGAAACAGUAGAAGGAGGUCAUAGAAACUAGAAAGAAUUCCUCCUUGCUCUUUGUCCCCCAAAGGAGCCAUAAAACCUGGGCCGAGUUUCUUCUGAAAAUAAGUUAUAAGAUCCUUAUUCCAGAGGGGUCCUGCCCUGUGCCUGGAGGAAAAGAAUGAAGACACAGAGAUGCCUUGAAGAAUCUGAACAAACAGCCCUUGCUAAGUUCCCCCCAGUUUAUUGACAUUAGAUUAGACCUUUUGUCCUCCAAUUAUACUUCUGUGUUCCUGAAAAUACACAUUUUCCCGUUUUUUCUUUUGUUUGCUUUUUUUGAUCUUCAUUUCUGAAGAUUCCCAUGUCAUGUAAAAUAUAUGUUAAACAAAUGUG
rnacentral:lncRNA from 1 species